GAUGAACGCUGGCGGCGUGCCUAAUACAUGCAAGUCGAGCGAACGGACGAGAAGCUUGCUUCUCUGAUGUUAGCGGCGGACGGGUGAGUAACACGUGGAUAACCUACCUAUAAGACUGGGAUAACUUCGGGAAACCGGAGCUAAUACCGGAUAAUAUUUUGAACCGCAUGGUUCAAAAGUGAAAGACGGUCUUGCUGUCACUUAUAGAUGGAUCCGCGCUGCAUUAGCUAGUUGGUAAGGUAACGGCUUACCAAGGCAACGAUGCAUAGCCGACCUGAGAGGGUGAUCGGCCACACUGGAAGUGAGACACGGUCCAGACUCCUACGGGAGGCAGCAGUAGGGAAUCUGCCGCAAUGGGCGAAAGCCUGACGGAGCAACGCCGCGUGAGUGAUGAAGGUCUUCGGAUCGUAAAACUCUGUUAUUAGGGAAGAACAUAUGUGUAAGUAACUGUGCACAUCUUGACGGUACCUAAUCAGAAAGCCACGGCUAACUACGUG
rnacentral:rRNA from 1 species